GAUGAACGCUGGCGGCGUGCCUAAUACAUGCAAGUCGAGCGAACAGACGAGGAGCUUGCUCCUCUGACGUUAGCGGCGGACGGGUGAGUAACACGUGGAUAACCUACCUAUAAGACUGGGAUAACUUCGGGAAACCGGAGCUAAUACCGGAUAAUAUAUUGAACCGCAUGGUUCAAUAGUGAAAGACGGUUUUGCUGUCACUUAUAGAUGGAUCCGCGCCGCAUUAGCUAGUUGGUAAGGUAACGGCUUACCAAGGCAACGAUGCGUAGCCGACCUGAGAGGGGGAUCGGCCAAACGGGAACUGGGACACGGUCCAGACUACUACGGGAGGGAGCAGAAGGGAAUCUGCGGAAAGGGGCGAAAGCCUGACGGAACAAGGCCGCGUGAGAGAUGAAGGUCUUCGGAUCGUAAAACUCUGUUAUUAGGGAAAAACAAAUGUGUAAGUAACUAUGCACGUCUUGACGGUACCUAAUCAGAAAGCCACGGCUAACUACGUG
rnacentral:rRNA from 1 species